rnacentral:lncRNA from 1 species
CUCCAGUGCCUCGUGGUCUUUUUCUCCCGCUUUAGGUGGGAGAGGAUGGCUAGAGUGGGCUGGAGUUGGGUAAGUCCCUUCCCCAGGUGUCAGUUAUGCUCUGCUGAAAGCCCAACAGGUUAGGCUCUGGUUAACUAAUUUCCCCUGAGGCUAGGCCUUGUUAAGAAGCACAGAGUGCUCUGGCUUAUUUCAGAAUCGUUCCUUUUCACCUUCCCUACCAGAAGCCCAAGGGGAUUUUUCUCUGAUAUUUACCGCAGGAACCUGGUCGAGCUCCUAAACGUAUGGACAUCAAGAUUCCUGGAAAAUACUAUUGAUGUCUUUCUGUCAUGCAUCAUGGAAAUGCUGGAGACGAUUUGUCGGAUAAUUAAAAGAGAAACCUGUAAAGGCAAGAUUCCUGUGAGCGAGUUGGUGCUGCAACGUGCUGCUCUGAACUGUGCCACCCCUUGGGUCCUCACAGAUGCCCCCAGAUCGCUUGAAAUGUCUAAAAAGACCUCGGAACAUUAGAAAAUGUCAAUUGUUAGAAUAAUUUCUGCCUCUUACAACAAGAGAAAAUACUAUGGAUUUAAUAGUUCAUUUUUAAAAUGUUUUUAUCCACCAGUAACUGUCUAUUAGGAACAUUUCAGUUAUAAUUGGAAUAAAUUGUUGCCCAGUAACAAGCGACUAAGUCUGUAGCUACUUUCCAUAGAAUCAGUGACUAGAAAUAGCUACAAAGAGCUAAAUGCAAGUCAAACCACAACACUACCA